rnacentral:tRNA from 1 species
GGUAGGAUGGCCGAGCAUUAGGUGGCGGUUUGUAGCACCGUGUACAGAGGUUCAAGUCCUCUUUCUACCA